GAUGAACGCUGGCGGCGUGCCUAAUACAUGCAAGUCGAGCGAACAGAUGAGGAGCUUGCUCCUCUGACGUUAGCGGCGGACGGGUGAGUAACACGUGGCUAACCUACCUAUAAGACUGGGAUAACUUCGGGAAACCGGAGCUAAUACCGGAUAAUAUAUUGAACCGCAUGGUUCAAUAGUGAAAGACGGUUUUGCUGUCACUUAUAGAUGGAUCCGCGCCGCAUUAGCUAGUUGGUAAGGUAACGGCUUACCAAGGCAACGAUGCGUAGCCGACCUGAGAGGGUGAUCAGCCACACUGGAACUGAGACACGGUCCAGACUCCUACGGGAGGCAGCAGUAGGGAAUCUUCCGCAAUGGGCGAAAGCCUGACGGAGCAACGCCGCGUGAGUGAUGAAGGUCUUCGGAUCGUAAAGCUCUGUUAUUAGGGAAGAACAAAUGUGUAAGUAACUAUGCACGUCUUGACGGUACCUAAUCAGAAAGCCACGGCUAACUACGUG
rnacentral:rRNA from 1 species